AAAGCGCGGACUCGAGAACAGGCCUUCCCACCAAGCCUAGCGCACAGCAGAGCGAUCCCGCAGCGACACCACGUCUCCCGCGGCCCGUCCAAAAUGGCGCCUUUAUCAGCUCGGCGCACGGAUAUGGGGGGGAGGGAGGAAGAGAAGCGGGAGGAAGCAGCUAUUCGAUCUCAGUACGCAUGCGUAAGAGCGUAACGGGUACUGGGAGAGGUACGCUCACGCACGCGCGACGUCACCCUCCGCGCCAAAGGAGAAAAAAGUUCCCCGCUUUCCCGAUUUGCGGAGUGGUUUGCUAGAGAAGUGACCAGUCAUUUGGUAAAAAAAUUAAAACACAGAUCCGUCUUUAAAUGGGUUACUAAUCCCUAAUGAGUCUUAAAGAAUAAACCGUUUUCCCAGGAACGAGUCCCUUUUAGAAACAAGUCCGCGCCUUGAAAGCUUUUGGUGAAACCUAGCCUUGAGCCUCGUCCCACAAUGCUCUACGGCGUUAACGGCCUUUGGCGGGAAAGACUGCCGGGGGCGGAGUUAAAGGGGGAGGGACCUGGCCGUUGCUCCGGAAACGCGGACUUUCUUGGAGAGGGCGCCUAGUCCGGGAGCUCCGCUGCUUGUGAUUCAGGCUUGUGAUUGACUAGGAGCCAAGACCGGACUUUGUAUUCCCGCCCCUUCUGCGCCCAGGCGGUACUAUAAACGAGAAAAAUGGAUGUGUGAGAACUGUGACCGCUGGAGCCCACAGUUGUUCAGGACUGAGCCCACCUGCAAGCUGGCCCAAGGAGAGCACUUUUUACAUUUUUUAGAGAGACCUCUGAAAUCUGGAUUUUUAUGUGAAGUGUUCGGACUUUAAAGUAGUAGUAAUGAAUUCAAUUUCUAAGAAAACCCUGUAUCAUAAAUACCUGCACCCUGUGUUUAAUAAAGGAUGAUUUUCUUCA